UGUUCCAAUAAUGCUUUAGAAUCAGAAACUCUGAUUCAUACCACCUUAGAGUUCUAGAAUCAUUCGGCACAGAACCUAAGCAAGAAGGACUUACAGCUCUCUGGUGUUUCAAAUCAUUUCAAGAGUCAUCAGGAUAGAAGACUGGCAACAAAUGUGGCUGUCUUUACGGGAGCACCAUCUGAACGCAGAAGUGCAGAAUUGCCUAGUUCUUCCUAGACUGGAAGCCACACAGGCAGUGAAGAUUUAGGGUUAUCCUUGCUGUGAUGAAACACCAUGACCAGAGAAACUUGGAGAAGAAAGGAUUUAUUCAGCUUGGGUCCACAUCACUGUUCAUCACUGAAAGAAGUCAGGACAAGAACUCAAAAAGAGCAGGAAGCUGGAGAUGUGUCUGCUACAAAGCUGUGACUCCUACGAAGGGCUGGAACUGACCCAUCUCUGUAUCCUCAGAGUACAGGAGAAGCUGAGACUCUUUAUACCAGAUGGUGCAAGACACAGCAUCUUCAAUUGUGGGCAAUACAAAUUAAGCACGUGUUGGCCAAUGAAAGCCUGAUAAGGGGUUUAAAAUCCGUCUUACAUGAAAACAGAUCCAGAAGUGUUUUUCUUGAAGUGAACACUUCUGAGAAUGCACUUGCUGAUUUUGCAGACUGUUUCUGGGCAUCUUCUCUGUGCAAGGCCUGGGCUGGGGAAAAGGAAGCCAUAGGUACAGGCCUACCAUCCCGGCAGCAGAGCUCAUGGUCUGGAUGGUGUUGGACACACAAAUAAGGAUCUAUGACUCAGUGCACUCAGGUCCCCCAGGAGGCAUGAGGGUGUGCCCAGGGAAGGCUCCGAGAAGACGUUGCAGAAGAGCACAGUUGUGACAAUGUUGAAAACAAGUAUCUUUUUUAAAAGACUUAUUGUUUUUUUAGUGUAUGUAUUGGCUGGAUAUGGUGGCUUACAACUUUAAUCCCAGCAAUCAGGUGACAGAGGCAGGCCAAUUUUGUGGGUAAGAGUCCAGCCUGGUCUACAUAGCAAGCUCCAAUGCAUCCAAGGCUACAUAAUGUGACUCUGUCUCAAAACAACAACAGUAAUAAUAAAAAUGUAUGAAUA
rnacentral:lncRNA from 1 species